GCGCCCGAAAGUCCAUCGAUCCAUUCAUCCAGCCUCUCUCCCUCUUGCCCGAACCCUAGAGCUCCGCUCCUCCCUGCCGCCGCCACCUCCACCUCCCUCUCCCCAAUCCAGACCCAGCCACCACCCAUGGCGCCAGCCAAAGCAGCCACCGGCGAUGGCGACGGCGAGGCUAGAGGCCGCCGGAUCCGGGAUCAGGGCGGCGCAUAGCCCCUCCUCCCGUGAGAUCCGGGACGCAGUCGCCCAUCUGGAUCGAGCAGCUCCUCUGGCCGCUGCACCGUCUCCACCGUCCGGAUUUGGUGCUCCUCGCGCGACCCACCCUCAGCACGCGUCUCCACUGUCUCUUCCCCGACAUCCUUGGCGAGGGAAUGAAUAGGAGCUCCGGCCAAGGCCAUGGACGCCACCAGCAGAAGCUCCGCCUCGGAUCUUGCGACCUCGUCGAUCGGAUCCAGCAGGUCCCCGCCGCUGCGCCAAGAUCCUCCCCUCCCUCCCAAAGAGGCCCUCUCUCCCACACGCUCUGCAUCCGCUACGGCCGUCGCAGCUUCCACCUCCAGAAGAGCACCUGCUCCUCGUGCGGUUACCCGGCCACCCGCAUCCGCAAGUAGAGAUCGACGGUCGGCUGGGCAGUGUUAGCGCUAAACCUUCAUGCGUACUCACUCUGCUGCAAGCUUUAAUAAUCUUGAUUGAUGCAGACGCCACUGGACGACACGUCGAUUGGGGACGAGCAGGAUGGGGCCAACAAGCCUAGGAGGAGGAGGAGCUCCAUCCGCAGUAGCUCAUGCUCAUGGAGGAACAAGUCUGAAUCGUUGCUGUCACUCUGCUGUCCUGGAGUCACCAUCCACAGCAGCCGUGGUGUGGCUGAGCCUCUGCUACGGCUACAACCUCCCUCUGGUGAGCUCCUCCCUCCUUCUCUGAUGUAGCUCGUGCAUGGCCUUGGCCAUGAUUUGGGUUGGAUGUGGGGCUCUACUAGUUGCUGCUAGAUGCUGUAACCAAGCAUCAACUCCUACUGGAGCUCUCUGGUGAUAAAUUCAUGCGGUUCUAGGGUCUGUCAGUAGCUGCCCAUGUGUGCUUGCUUUAUAUAUGUGCUCCUAUGAUGCUAUGGUGAUAUGGGGUGGCUAAUAUCAAGAUCAUGUUGGUGUUGAUGCUUAUCUUGCGUGUCUCUGGUGGUGGUGGUGUUGACAUCAGUUACACACCUAGCUUGUAACUAAUAUCAUUACUGCUAAUUUACCUCAAGUUUAUCUGAACAUGGUGGAAAUGACCGCUGCAAAUUUUGAUGUCUAAAAUCAAUUUUUACCCCAAGUCAUUAAGUAAUUAUUUUCAUUACAUCACAGUUAGCUGAGAAUAUUGACUUGAAUAUUUUAUGUAUGCCCUGAUGCAUGUACACAUACGGUUGAGCAAAUACCGAGCUGCAGUGGAACAACCUCGAGUUAGAGAACUUCAAGGACAAGAUCAAUGAGGUGACCGGCGUUAUGGCGGUUGUGUACGGUGGCGACCACAAGUUCUUCGAUGCUGGGCUUUCAUGUUUCUUCGUGAGCAUCAGGACAAAGAAGUCGGAGGAAGAAUAGUUCUAGCUCAUUGGAGCUAGUUCUGAGAGUAAUGAAGCCCUUUCUGCUGCUCCUAUUUGUAUGUGUGUUAUAUGAUGUAGCAGAAUCUGGCUCAUGUGAUUGUACACUUGUGGAGCUUGUUAUCUGAUUGUAAACUUGAUGCUGAUCACAUUUGUAUGUGUGUUAUAUGAUGUAACGCUUUGAUGGUUGAUAAUAUUGAAGUAUUUCGUGU